rnacentral:snRNA from 1 species
GUGCUUCCUUUGGCAGCACAUAUACUAAAAUUCAAAUGAUACAGAGAAAAUUAAUGUGGCCCCAUUGCAAGGAUGGCAUACAAAUUCAUGAAGGGUUCCAGUUAAAA